GGAGUUUGGACCGUGUCUCAGUUCCAAUGUGGGGGACCUUCCUCUCAGAACCCCUACUGAUCGUCGCCUUGGUGAGCCAUUACCUCACCAACUAGCUAAUCAGACGCGGGUCCAUCUUGUACCGAAAAUACUUUUCUACACUCCUUCAUGCGAAGCUGUGCGCUUAUGCGGUAUUAGCAGUCGUUUCCAACUGUUGUCCCCCUGUACAAGGUAGGUUACCCACGCGUUACUCACCCGUCCGCCACUCAGUCAGUAAAUCGUCACCCCGAAGGGAUCGUAAUAAACUGCUUCGUUCGACUUGCAUGUGUUAAGCACGCCGCCAGCGUUCAUC
rnacentral:rRNA from 1 species